rnacentral:rRNA from 1 species
UGGGGAAUAUUGCACAAUGGGCGCAAGCCUGAUGCAGCCAUGCCGCGUGUGUGAAGAAGGCCUUCGGGUUGUAAAGCACUUUCAGCGAGGAGGAAGGUGGUGAGCUUAAUACGCUCAUCAAUUGACGUUACUCGCAGAAGAAGCACCGGCUAACUCCGUGCCAGCAGCCGCGGUAAUACGGAGGGUGCAAGCGUUAAUCGGAAUUACUGGGCGUAAAGCGCACGCAGGCGGUUUGUUAAGUCAGAUGUGAAAUCCCCGGGCUCAACCUGGGAACUGCAUUUGAAACUGGCAAGCUAGAGUCUCGUAGAGGGGGGUAGAAUUCCAGGUGUAGCGGUGAAAUGCGUAGAGAUCUGGAGGAAUACCGGUGGCGAAGGCGGCCCCCUGGACGAAGACUGACGCUCAGGUGCGAAAGGCGUGGGGCAGCAAACAGGAUUAGAUACCCUGGUAGUCCACGCUGUAAACGAUGUCGAUUUUGGAGGUUGUGCCCUUGAGGCGUGGCUUCCGGAGCUAACGCGUUAAAUCGACCGCCUGGGGAGUACGGCCGCAAGGUUAAAACUCAAAUGAAUUGACGGGGUCAUAGCUG